UACGUAGGGUGCAAGCGUUGUCCGGAAUUAUUGGGCGUAAAGAGCUCGUAGGCGGUCUGUUAUGUCGGAUGUGAAAGCCCUCGGCUCAACUGAGGAAGUGCAUCCGAAACUGGCAGGCUAGAGUACUAAAGAGGGUCGCGGAAUUCCCGGUGUAGAGGUGAAAUUCGUAGAUAUCGGGAGGAACACCGGUGGCGAAGGCGGCGACCUGGGUAGAUACUGACGCUGAGGUGCGAAAGCGUGGGGAGCAAACAGG
rnacentral:rRNA from 1 species